rnacentral:rRNA from 1 species
AACGAACGCUGGCGGCAGGCUUAACACAUGCAAGUCGAACGAGAUCUUCGGAUCUAGUGGCAGACGGGUGAGGAACACGUGGGAACAUCCCUUUCAGUUCGGAAUAACGUUGGGAAACUAACGCUAAUACCGGAUACGUCCUUCGGGGGAAAGAUUUAUCGCUGAAAGAUUGGCCCGCGUCUGAUUAGCUAGUUGGUGAGGUAAUGGCUCACCAAGGCUACGAUCAGUAGCUGAUCUGAGAGGAUGAUCAGCCACAUUGGGACUGAGACACGGCCCAAACUCCUACGGGAGGCAGCAGUGGGGAAUAUUGGACAAUGGGCGCAAGCCUGAUCCAGCCAUGCCGCGUGAGUGAUGACGGCCUUCGGGUUGUAAAGCUCUUUUGUCCGGGAAGAUAAUGACUGUACCGGAAGAAUAAGCCCCGGCAAACCUCGUGCCAGCCGCCGCGGUAA